rnacentral:ncRNA from 1 species
AUGGCGUUUGUGGGGAGUUGAUGGAUUGGUGACGAGGACCGGGGCGGUUGUGGUGGCAGAGCAGUUGAUCUGAGAAAUACCGGUGAACUUGAUCUGGAUAAUACCAGCGAAAGAACAUGCUUCUUUGAAUUC